GACAGAGGGGGCAAGCGUUGCUCGGAAUCACUGGGCGUAAAGGGCGCGUAGGCGGGAUGGCAAGUCGGUCGUGAAAUCCUUCGGCUCAACCGAAGAACGUCGGCCGAUACUGCCGUUCUUGAGGGAUGCAGAGGAGAUUGGAAUUCCCGGUGUAGCGGUGAAAUGUGUAGAGAUCGGGAGGAACACCGGUGGCGAAGGCGGGUCUCUGGGCAACAACUGACGCUGAGGAGCGAAAGCGUGGGGAGCGAACAGG
rnacentral:rRNA from 1 species